rnacentral:lncRNA from 1 species
AUGCUACAAACCAGGCUGGGGUUAACGCACGGCUCUUCCAGGCAGGGCUGGCGGAGGCUGUGCUGCAGGGAAGGGAAGAAAUACAGAGUUGAGGGGGGAUUUAAAGCUGGUGGCGAGGCACUGCGUGGUGUCCCCGUGCCAAUCUCCCUUCCUGCCGACUGCAGUGUCCUGGAGCACUGUCCCAUCCCGCCUGCUCGGCGCCCACCCAGCAGCCCAAGGACGCGGUAUGUCAGCAGAUCUGUUCCCCCCCCCCAAGGCUCACUGUCUGGCUGGGCCCCAGCAUGUCGCAGAUCCUCCCAAGGUCUCUGCUUCUGCCGCACAGAAGGCAGCGAAAUGUGGAAUUUCUGUGUUUCGUCUGCUCCCAAUCAGUGCCUUUUGUUGGUGUCUUUGAGAGG